rnacentral:tRNA from 1 species
GGUAGGAUGGCCGACUGUUUAGGUAGCGGGUUGUAGCCCCGAAUAUAAAGGUUUAACUCCUUUUCCUAUCA